rnacentral:misc_RNA from 1 species
UUUCCGUAGGUGAACCUGCGGAAGGAUCAUUAAUAAAUGGUCUACGUUUUUAAGUAGACGCUUAAUAAUCCUACCCUUUGUGAAUUUGUUUGUUUGAAAUAAUUUUUUUUAAAAUUAUUGAAUGUCUUUCCCUGUUGAAUUGGUUGUCUUUAAUGGCAAGUGAUUCGCAGGGGAGUGUCAAUAAUUUUUAAAAAGACCUUUUUUAAAAUUAAACUUUUUGUAUUCAUUUGUCUAAAAAUUAUUUUUAUAAUAUAAAAACAACUUUUGACAAUGGAUCUCUUGGUUCUCGCAACGAUGAAGAACGCAGCAAAAUGCGAUAAGUAGUGUGAAUUGCAGAAUACGUGAAUCAUCGAAUCUUCGAACGCAUAUUGCACUUUUUUAGUUUACUAAAAAAGUAUGUCUGUUUGAGUAUCAGUAAAAUAUUCUCAUAAAAAACAUUGUUUUUUAUGGUUAUGAGUGUUUUACAACGAUACAAGUUGUUUCACUUUAAAUUUUUUUAAAAUUUGAAUUUUUCUAAUUUUAAAAUAAAAUUGGAUAAAAUUUUCCCGUAAAAAGGAAUAACCUAAACAAUUUUAAUUUUUGAUUAGAAAAUCCAAACUAAAAGGAAAAUUUAACUAAAUAACUUGAUCUCAAAUCAGAUAAGAGUACCCGCUGAACUUAAGCAUAUCAAUAAGCGGAGGAAAAGAAACUAACAAGGAUUCCCUUAGUAACGGCGAGUGAAGCGGGAAGAGCUCAAAUUUGAAAUCUUCAAGGUUUUACCUUGACGAAUUGUAGUUUAAAGAAGUGUUUUCUGUUGAAGUUUUGGUAAAAGUUCUUUGGAAUAGGACAUCAUAGAGGGUGAGAAUCCCGUAUUUGACCAUUAUUUUCAGCUGUGUGAUACACUUUCAAAGAGUCGGAUUGUUUGGGAAUGCAGUCCAAAAUGGGUGGUAAAUUUCAUCUAAAGCUAAAUAUUGGCGAGAGACCGAUAGCGAACAAGUACCGUGAGGGAAAGAUGAAAAGAACUUUGAAAAGAGAGUUAAACAGUACGUGAAAUUGUCAAAAGGGAAGCGUUUGACACCAGUGUUGUUUUCUCGAAAAUCAAUUAAAAAAAGUUGGAUUUUGUGUUGUAUUGACCUUAACAGCUUGCUUCACUCUUUUCCUGCUUUUUUUAAUGCACUUUUCGUUUAACAAGUCAACAUCAGUUUCUUUUGUUGUAAAAGGGUCAUUGGAAGGUGGCUUUCUCUUCGGAGAAAGUGUUUAUAGCCUUUGAUCUCUGCAAUCGGAGAGACUGAGGUCUGCAGCGUAGAUCCUUCGGGGUUAGAUACAUUUGUGCUAAGCUACAGCUUUUCAUAGACAACUUGUUGACUAUGUUUAGUCUUGUGACUUACCCGCUUAUGCUAUUU